GACGUGUCCGGCAGAAUAAAAAAAUAAAAAAUAAAAGAAAAACCCGACAUAUUUUGUUGAAUUUUCAACCCUUGGUACUAGCCGACAAAAGUUAGUUUAAACAGAGCCAUAGCAUAGUGUGUCUAUACCCCCCCCCCAUUCCGCUACAUACAGUGGCAGAUCUGUUGCGCCCCCUUGUUUGGAAACCACUAAUUUCACGUACAUUUUCACGUACAUGUAGGCCUAAUAUCAGAAAACUAUCGCCUGCCCCCCCCCCCCGUGCCGAGUAUGCACGUGCGUGCAUGCAUAUGAUAUACAUGUACUCUAUGCGCAUAUACUAGUCAGUAGGUUAUUUAUUUAUUUAUUUUUCGUACCGCGCGCGGGUAAUUCCGUACGAGGUUAUAAACCUUAUUAUUAAG